UUGUAUAACUGAGGUGCUGGGGCUGUCGCUGACCUUUGAGGAAGGUCGUGCACGCCCAAGUACUCUCUCGCAUCCAUUUCACCCCUUUGUGCAUUACCGCGUGGGCUUCCCCCCUUUUUGACUUGUUCCAAAGGGGGUGUUCACGUUUUUAUACACACCCUGUUUAAUGUAUGUGUAGAAUGUUUUACUUUUUGCGAUUAUAUGCAAUCAAUACAACUUUCAACAACGGAUCUCUUGGCUCUCGCAUCGAUGAAGAACGCAGCGAAAUGCGAUACGUAAUGUGAAUUGCAGAAUUCAGUGAAUCAUCGAAUCUUUGAACGCACCUUGCGCCCUUUGGUAUUCCGAAGGGCACACCCGUUUGAGUGUCGUGACUACCCUCAACCUUCUUGGUUUCUCAAACUGGGAAGGAUUGGACUUUGGAGGUUUUUACCUUGCUGGUUUCUUUUGAAACCGGCUCCUCCUAAAUGAAUUAGUGGGAUCUGCUUUGCUGAUCCUCGACGUGAUAAGUAUGCUUGUACGUCUUGGUGUUGCCCUGCAGCCUGCUUACAACUGUCUUUGGAUGAAUGAAGACAAUGUUCGAGUUGCGACUCGACCCAGAAACCUUGACCUCAAAUCGGGUGAGACUACCCGCUGAAC
rnacentral:rRNA from 1 species